UUAGCUAAAGAAGAGUGAUCACUUUCGUGGGACCAAAUGUAAUUGAGGGUUUUAUUCAUGCUAAAUGAUGGGUUUGCUUGGUUUGUGCAUUGAUUUAUGCUUGAGAACGAACCUUGGGUUUCUGUUUGAGUGCAGGAGGUUGCUGUGAAGGUAUUGCCAUGUGAUCUGGGAUCGAUUGAACGGCUGAAGCGGAACCGGAAGGUUCUUAAUAAGCUUGAGGUAUGUCCCCGAGAUGUGUAUCAUGUAGCAAUGGAAGAAAUAAUGAAGUAUGUUGGCAAGGUUAUGCCUCUCCCAAAACAAGUAUUGCCUUCUUUUCCCUUCUUCUCUAAGGUGUUCUGUUGCUGUUCUGAGCGAUGGCUGUAUGAGAGAUGCUUUUAUGUAAUAGUUGGGGUGUAGUUCAUUCUCCAUGCAUCUACUUCCAACGAAACGCAACACAAUAUCCUUUUGAGCAGCAGAGCAUAGUCACU